UCAAAAUCAGAAUUAAGGUCUCUUGAAGACCUAGAAUAACAAUAGGCACAGCUAGUGCCUAGGCUGGUCCCGCUGGAGCAUCCACAAUUAGACAUGAUCAUGACUUGGGUGGCUGGUGGAUCUGCAGGUGCUGCCCUAGCUGUUAUGCGGGCUACACCUCUUCCCUUACCAUGUCCUUGACCACAACCUCGGCUUCUCACGGCCCCAACUGAUGGUACUGGUGACUGUCCGUUCUGACCAAUAGCAUGUGUCCUCAUAUCCUGUGAGAGAAUAGAAUAAUGAAAGUUUAGUUACCAGAAUAAACAUAUUCGCACGACAAGAAUUAAAUAAUGUGAAGUUUUCCUGAAGGUCAUGUAGCCUCUCGAAUAUAAAUACAGAUGUCUCCGUACCAAUACGUAAGACUUUACCAAACCCACUCAUGACUCAUGAGACCUAUGUAACUUAGGCUCUGAUACCAACUUGUCACAAACCAAACUGCCAUGUCGUGAUGGCGCCUAUCGUGGUACUAGUCCAACCGACUCUUUACCAAAAAAAACCUGAUAUUUCAAUUUCAAGAUAAGUGCAAGCUAUUUAAUUUAAAACUUCAUAAGAUAAAUCUGAAAAACAAAGUGCGGAAAAAACAAUGACAUCGGGGUGUCACUGGUCAAGAGCAUCUACUAAACACUAUCUGAUAUACUAAGACUAACAUAGUCAGGAACUGUAACUACAAAAUAAACUACAGGAAGAUAGGAGGGAGAAGAACAUGUCUGCAAUCACCAACAGCUACCUUGCCAACUCCAAGAAGAAUCUACGGUUUGACUAGUCAACAGCCGCUACCGGGUCCUGAUGUUCCUGGAUCUGCACAUAAGCUACAGGGAGUAACGUGAGUACGCCAACUCAGUAAGUAAGCAAAGUAAAUAAUGGCUGAGAAGUAGUAACAAAAAAUAAAACAUAUAGGUUCAUAUCAUUAAAUCUCAAUAAAAGUAAAACAUCCUUUUAAAAGCAGAGUUUGAAUUAAAUCAUUUUGUUUAAAAUUAGUUUUAGUAAAAAACAUUUUAAGAUACUUUCAACAGUUCUCAAUAGAGGCUCAGUAUAGCAAUGAGGAAAAUAAUGAAAUCAUAAACAGCCCCUCGGGAAAAAUAUCACUCAUAAAUAGCCCCUCGGUUAAACCUUUCAGCCACUCGUAUACAACCCUUCGGGCAUAUCUCAUAUCACUCACACUCAGGAUACCCACGCUAACGGAGGUGCGCAAACUCCAUAGAGGCUCCUUCAGCCCGAGCGCUAUAACAAGUCACCUCGUGACAUAAAUAAAUCAGUCCUUUGGCCUCACUAAAUCAUGAAUUAGUAACACCAAGUUGCGGCGUGCAACCUAAUCCCAUAAUAUCCUCACAAAUCAGGCCCUCGGCCUCAUUCAGUCAUAAACCUCUCAAGCCAUUUGGGCUCACAGUAAAAAAAUAGGGUACUCAGCCAAAACAACAUUCUUAUAUGUAUAAAAAAAGAUUAAUAAAGGCUGAUUUAUAAAACUCAAUAAGUGUAACAAGACUGAUUACAUAUUUUUAACCAAAAAUAGUAAGAGGGUAGUAAGAAAAGGCCACUAAGGGUCCAAACAGCACUGGCACAAGGCUCAAAUAUGGUAUAGAAACUCUUUCUAAAACACAUAAAUAUUAUAUAGUUUCAACCAAAUGCGCAACUUAUAGUUGCUACGAGACGGACCAAGUCAAAAUUUCCAAUGGUGCACGCCCACGCGCCCGUCACCUAGCAUGUGUGUCACCUCAAAAUAGUAAAACGAUACAGAAAUCGGUAUUUCAUACCCUCAAGACUAGAUUUACAAUCAUCAUUUACCUCAAACCAGUCAAAUCCCUACUCUGCGAUGCUCUUGCCCCUCGACUCAGCCUCCAAUCGCUUAGAAUCUAUUCACAACCAAAACAAUACCAUCAAUAUACAAUAAUGGAAUAAAUUCCACAAGAAAAACUAGAACAUUAGGCACAAUCCCAAAAUCCUCUCAAACUCGCCCCCUGACCCAUGUCUCGGAAUCCGAAAAAAAUAAAAAUAAAAAUUAGAAAUCCAUUGUACUCACGAGUCCAACCAUACCAAAUUUAUCAAAAUCCGACCUCAUUUAACCUCUCAAAUCCCGAAAUCGAACUUUCAAAUUUCCAAGCCCUAAUCCCUUCACUUUCAUCUCUAAUUUCUACUAAUUACAUGCUUAAACAACUAAAAAUCACCAUAAUCACGAGUAUUAGGCUCAAGUAACUUUAAAACCCCUUGAUUCCCCCUUCAAAACUCUCCAAAAGCUUCAAAAUCCGAAAAACAAUAGUGAAGAAUACCCAAAAAUUUGCGAAGUGCGCAUUAUAUACCUUCUGCCCAGGAAUCUCGCACAUGCGGCCCUUUCUCACACCUGUGUGACCACUCCUACAGUCCAAACAACUGAUCUUGCGAAAGUCACUUAUCUGCCCAGGUCCCGCACCUGCAGCCAGGCCUCGCAACUGCGGGCUCGCAAGUGCAACCAAACUUGUGCACCUGCGUACCUUCCUCAGCUCCAAAACCUCCGCAUCUGUGACCCCUUUCUGCUUCUGUGAACCCCGAACUUGAGGUUGCCACUCUGCAGGUGCGGAAACAUCACAAGCAGCAGUUUUAGCUGGACAAUUUCAUUUCCAAAUCCUCCAUUAAUCUUCUGAAUUUAUCUCGAGGCCCUCGAGACCUCAACCAAAAAUACCAACAAGUCACAUAUCAACAUUCAAACUUAGUUGAACAUUCAGAACACUCAAAAUAACAUCAACAUACCAAAUCACCCUCGGAUUCAAGCUUAAGAACUUCUAAACUUUCAAUUUUUGCAAACGAUGCCAAAACCUACCGAACCUCGUUCGAAUGACUUAAAAUUUUGUAUACACAUCAAAUAUGACACUACACGCCUACUCCAACUUCCGGAAUCUCAUUCCGACUUCGAUAUCAAAUUUUCCACUACUGACAAAAAUCGCGCAAAUUCCAAUUUUGCCAAUUCAAGCCAAAAUCUAACACGUACCCCUAAAUUAUAUUUCGGACGCGCUCCCAAGUCGAACAUCACCUGACAGAGCUAAUCGAACCAUAGAAAUCCAAAUCUGAGGUCGUUUACUCAUAAGUCAAUAUCCGGUUUUCUUUUCCAACUUAAGCUUUAAUUUAUGAGACUAAGUGUCUCAUUCCACACCAAAACCACUCCGGACCCGAAUCAACCAACACGAUAUGAUAAAAUACAACUGAGCAAUAUAUAAGAAAGCAGAAAUAGGGGAAAUGGGGCUAUAAUUUAUGAAACGACUGACCGGAUCGUCACACUUUCUUGAAUGAUGUUCCAUUUGGCCCAAACCACUGACACCUAUAUGCAUACAAGCGAUAGUCAAGCGGCAAUAUGAAGGACUGGGAGAAUUAUGUACAAUGAGAAAUCUUGUCACAUACUACGAAUACAUAAAAUAAUUAGAUAACUACCCUCAAGAAAAAUUAUUACAAUUAGUGAUGUGAAGCUAAGCGAUAAUAUGUCUAGUAUGUUUACAUAAGGCAUAACUAGAGAGGCAAUUAAAAGAUAUUGAGGGGAAUAGAAUUAUGGCCAAGGACAAGCCAUUAUGGAGGUAACUCUACCUAGACUAUUGGAGAUCUCAAGAUCUAAGUUCAAGGAGAUCAAAUCAAAUUAUAAAUGACACUCCAACAUCGUCAAAUAAAAAUUUAGUUCAUCUCGUGAUGAGAUAAUGUCCAAUAACAAUGAUAAGAUGGAAGGCUUUUUAAUGGUUUCUAAAAAUUUAAUAUGAGAUUAUCAAAUAGUAUAUCUACGAUGUUACACUUUUGGAAUCACUUUCGUCUAACAUUUAUUUACACUUCAACAUAUUUUGGGUCAUUGCUAUCGUUAAACUCAUUAAUAUAAAAGUUAAACUUCUAUACAUUGAGUAAAGAAACUAAACUGUCAAUAGGAUGUCCAUAAAUGGAGGAAAUGAAAAAGGAGUUCAGCAAUACGAAGACUCUGAUGGUGGACUAGAUAAAGACGAAAGAGAGAAUGAGUUUGAGAAAGAAAAAGGGAAAAAUGAAAGAAAAGAGAAA
rnacentral:lncRNA from 1 species